UGCUUUACACAUGCAAGUCGAACGGCAGCGCGAAGGAAGCUUGCUUUCUUUGGCGGCGAGUGGCGAACGGGUGAGUAAUGUAUCGGAACGUGCCCAGUAGCGGGGGAUAACUGGCCGAAAGGUCAGCUAAUACCGCAUACGCCCUACGGGGGAAAGGGGGGGAUCGCAAGACCUCUCACUAUUGGAGCGGCCGAUAUCGGAUUAGCUAGUUGGUGGGGUAAAGGCCUACCAAGGCGACGAUCCGUAGCUGGUUUGAGAGGACGACCAGCCACACUGGGACUGAGACACGGCCCAGACUCCUACGGGAGGCAGCAGUGGGGAAUUUUGGACAAUGGGGGAAACCCUGAUCCAGCCAUCCCGCGUGUGCGAUGAAGGCCUUCGGGUUGUAAAGCAC
rnacentral:rRNA from 1 species